AAAUAAGAAGUAAUUUAUUACAUAUUAAUUUCGACUUAAUAAUAGAUUUUUAAUCCUUAUUUU
rnacentral:tRNA from 1 species